rnacentral:rRNA from 1 species
GUGAGGAAUAUUGGUCAAUGGUCGAGAGACUGAACCAGCCAAGUAGCGUGAAGGAUGACUGCCCUACGGGUUGUAAACUUCUUUUAUGCGGGAAUAAAGUGUGGCACGUGUGCCAUUUUGUAUGUACCGCAUGAAUAAGCAUCGGCUAAUUCCGUGCCAGCAGCCGCGGUAAUACGGAAGAUGCGAGCGUUAUCCGGAUUUAUUGGGUUUAAAGGGAGCGUAGGCGGACGCUUAAGUCUGCGGUAAAAUGUCGUUGCUCAACAUCGGCGUGCCGUGGAAACUGGGUGUCUUGAAUGUGCACAAGGUGGAUGGAAUUCGUGGUGUAGCGGUGAAAUGCUUAGAUAUCACGAAGAACUCCGAUUGCGAAGGCAGUCCACUGGGGCAUGAUUGACGCUGAGGCUCGAAAGUGCGGGAAUCAAACAGG